AUUAUGAACAAGUUAGGAACAUGAUGAUUGGGUGUUUAUGCCAUAUGCGUGAGAUGUACCUCCCAUAAACCUUGUUAUAGUCUCAGAACAUUAACUAUGUGAGG